GCGGGGGGCGGUUGGGGUGCGCGCCGGCCGGAGUGGACGCCGCCGCGGCCGCCAUGCAGCUGACGGUGAAGGCGCUGCAGGGCCGCGAGUGCAGCCUGCAGGUGUCGGAGGACGAGCUGGUGUCCACGCUGAAACAUCUGGUCUCCGAGAAGCUAAACGUCCCCGUGCGCCAGCAGCGGCUGCUGUUCAAGGGCAAGGCCCUAGCAGAUGGGAAAAGACUCUCCGAUUACAGCGUUGGGCCCAAUUCCAAGCUCAACCUAGUGGUCAAACCGCUGGAGAAGGUGUUGCUGGAAGAAAGCGCGGCCCGGAGACUGGCUGAGGCCCCGCCCCCAGCCGCCUGGCAGCUGGUCUCCAAGGUCUUGGGCCGCCACUUCAGCGCUGCAGACGCCAGCAGAGUCCUGGAUCAACUGCAGAGGGAUUACGAGCGGUCCCUGAGCCGGCUGACCCUGGAUGACAUCGAGCGCUUGGCUAGCCGCUUCCUGCACCCCGAAGUGACUGAAGCUAUGGAGAAGGGGUUCUCCAAGUAGGAUUCUCGGAGUGUGGGGAGGAGCCUGGCCAGGCCACAAGCUGCAUGUAGCAUUAAAUGUGUUCUCAUGUUGCAAUUUGGCUCAUAACAGUAGCUGGCGGGUACCGGGUACCUGCACCUGGCUCUCGCGUCUGCUUCAUCCCAGGCCUCUGCCUCAGGAUCAGGAGAUGGUUGCCUACAGCUGCCACCACAUCCCUCGAUCACAGCCAGCAAGGAGCACCUUCGCGGCCUGUAGUGUAGCCUCUUCCUCAGAUGCCCCAGCAAAUAAACGCUGUCCUUUCAGACCGAA